CACUGGCAAGAUAUAAAAAUAAGAUCAAUCAGGCAGAUGUUUGUAUGAACAGAAAUGAAGGGUACAAACACCCCUACAUGUACAAUGAUAUUUUGAAGGAUACGGUUCUCCCCCCCACCCCCCUUAGAUUGGAUUGACCCAGGAGCUAUAAACCAAAUUGUCAUCGGACUGUCCUAGCUGUCAUUGCUUCACUUUUGAUGAUGUCUCUUGCCAAGAGGAAAGCCGAAAUAUCCAGUGGUGGUGACAGCUUUUCCAAAGAAGUCUUCCGCAAGCAAGUUACCAAAACUUUGGAUUGGAGAACCUGUGGAGGGUGUCAGGGAAAAUCUCCCCUCCCUCAGACAAGGCAUGCCUAUUAGGGUUUUGUGGGCUAUUAAUUGCACAAACACAAUAUCUGUAUGCAAGUCCAGAAAUUACAGAUUUUUAUCUCGCUGAGCAGCAUUAAAUCUUACACCAGUAUCAUAAUCUUACAGAAAAAAUAAUUAGUUUUCAUGAAGUCAUUCUGCAAAUCAACGUUAAAGUAGGCGUAAUCAAUUUUGUUGCCCUACUAGUAUUCAGCUUACGAUUAGAUGGAACCAGUGUGCUGUAAUGAGCAUUAAUUUCUUAAGCUUCAAUUGAACCUUGAACUUUGUUGUCAUGGUAAUUUUAAUAAACUUGACAUGUGCAUAUUAGUAUUUUAAAAAUGGUACAAAUGUAAUGUAGUUAGAUUUAUAUAGCACUUUAUACUGAAACAAAUGCAACAACUAGAUAUUUUUCAAGGUUUUGUGUGCUUUAAUAUGUACUUAUAGAUCCAUCUGGACAAAAAUAUGACAGUUUAAUGGUAAUUUUUAUAGGAAAGGAAGGUCACAUCAUGGCGAGUAUACUAACAAGUUUAGAUAUGUUAUUGUGAAGAACGAUGACACUAUUGAUUACAAGAAUAAUACAUCUUUUAUUGGUAUUUUAAUUAGACCCAAAACAAAAUUGUUUUAUUGCCCUGCACCGAAAAUUAGUGUUGGUUGGGUGGUUUAUACUAUAUGGCCUGGGACACGCAUCAGUCAAUGGCCAAUGCAUUUUGAUUGGUAAAAUGAUAACAAUAAGGCUAAAUUUCAAAUGCAUAAAGUUACUUUGCAAAAAAAGCCAACCCUAGAUUUUAAAGACUUUGCAUAGGUUAGGUUGUGCAACACAAAGUGUAUUUUGCUGCCCUUUUAAAGCACAUUAUGAUACCUUUAAAAACAUAUUGUUUAUAUUUGAAAUCAAUAAUCCUUAUGGUUUAUAGCCCUAUGUGUACCAGGGAAUAUUAAUUGCAAUGUACACAUGUACGAAUCAUUUUAAAUUACAAAACGUUUCUGAAAUGAUAAUGACAAUUUGAGUUGAUUGGAGUUUAUGAUAAGCAUAAUUUAGGAAAUUGUAUUUGAGGCUUUUAUUUCAACAAACUCAAUGGAUAAAAUUAUGCAUUAAAUCUCAAUAAUAACAUUUUCAUAAAAAA